rnacentral:rRNA from 1 species
CCCUUAGAUGUCCUGGGCCGCACGCGCGCUACACUGAACGGAUCAGCGCGUUUUCCCUUCCCGAGAGGGACGGGUAACCUGCCGAACCCCGUUCGUGGUAGGGAUCGGGGCUUGCAAUUAUUCCCCGUGAACCAGGAAUGCCCAGUAAGUGCAAGUCAUAAGCUUGCGUUGAUUACGUCCCUGCCCUUUGUACACACCGCCCGUCGCUACUACCGAUUGAACGUUUUAGUGAGGUACUCGGACUGAGCCUCAGAAGAUCCACGUCUUUUGUGCUGCUCGGGAAGAUUCCCAAACUUGAGCGUUUAGAGGAAGUAAAAGUCGUAACA